AUGUUCAAGCUGGUUUUAGAAAAGGCAGAGGAACCAGAGAUCAAAUUGCCAGCAUUCUCUGGAUCAUGGAAAAAGCAAGAGAGUUCCAGGGAAACAUCUAUUUCUGCUUUAUUGACUAUGCCAAAGCCUUUGACUGUGUGGAUCACAAUAAACUGGAAAAUUCUUCAAGAGAUGGGAAUACCAGACCACAUGACCUGCCUCUUGAAAAAUCUUCAUGCAGGUCAGGAAGCAGCAGUUAGAACUGGACAUGGAACAACAGACUGGUUCCAAAUAGGAAAAGGGGUACGUCAAGGCUGUAUAUUGUCACCCUGCUUAUUUAACUUCUAUGCAGAGUACAUCAUGAGAAACGCUGGACUGGAAGAAACACAAGCUGGAAUCAAGAUUGCCGGGAAAAAUAUCAAAAACCUCAGAUAUGCAGAUGACACCACCCUUAUGGCAGAGAGUGAAGAGGAGCUAACAAGCCUCUUGAUGAAAGUGAAAGUGGAGAGUAAAAAAGUUGGCUUAAAGCUCAACAUUCAGAAAACGAAGAUCAUGGCUUCUGGUCCUAUCACUUCAUGGGAAAUAGAUGGGGAAACAGUAGAAACAGUGUCUGACUUUAUUUUGGAGGGCUCCAAAAUCACUGCAGAUGGUGACUGCAGCCAUGAAAUUAAAAGACGCUUACUCCUUGGAAGAAAAGUUAUGACCAACCUAGAUAGUAUAUUCAAAAGCAGAGACAUUACUUUGCAGACUAAGGUCCAUCUAGUCAAGGCUAUGGUUUUUCCUGUGGUCAUGUAUGGAUGUGGGAGUUGGAGUGUGAAGAAGGCUGAGUGCCGAAGAAUUGAUGCUUUUGAACUGUGGUAUUGGAGAAGACUCUUGAGAGUCCCUUGGACUGUAAGGAGAUCCAACCAGUCCAUUCUGAAGGAGAUCAGCCCUGGGAUUUCUUUGGAAGGAAUGAUGCUAAAGCUGAAGCUCCAGUACUUUGGCCACCUCAUGCGAAGAGUUGAUUCAUUGGAAAAGACUCUGAUGCUGGGAGGGAUUGGGGGCAGGAGGAGAAGGGGACAACAGAGGAUGAGAUGGCUGGAUAGCAUCACUGACUCGAUGGACGUGAGUCUGAGUGAACUCCGGGAGAUGGUGAUGAACAGGGAGGCCUGGUGUGCUGCGAUUCAUGGGGUCGCAAAGAGUCGGACACGACUGAGCGACUGA
rnacentral:lncRNA from 1 species